AGCUCCAAGAGCGUAUAUUAAAGUUGUUGCAGUUAAAAAGCUCGUAGUUGGAUUUCUGGUAUAACGCGCCUGGCCCGCAUUUUUGUGAGUGCCGGUGCGCGUUUACCAUCCUUCUAGAAAACGUUUCUACCUGGGUAACUGGGCCGGAUUCGCGAUCUAGAUCUUUUACUUUGAAAAAAUUAGAGUGUUCAAAGCAGGCUUUUGCUGUGAAUACAUUAGCAUGGAAUAAUGAUCUAGGACUUCGGUUCUAUUUUGUUGGUUUCUAGUACUGAAGUAAUGAUUGAUAGGGAUAGUUGGGGGUGCUAGUAUUGGCCGGCCAGAGGUGAAAUUCUUGGAUUCGGUCAAGACUAACUUAUGCGAAAGCAUUCACCAAGGAUGUCUUCUUUA
rnacentral:rRNA from 1 species